rnacentral:rRNA from 1 species
UGAACGCUAGAGCUGUGCUUAACACAUGCGAGUCGAACGUCGUUUAUAAACGAAGUGGCGAACGGGUGAGUAACGCGUGAGAAUUUGCCUAAUAGUCUGGAAUACACUUCUAUAACUUUUAAAAGUUAUACGUUAAUACCGGAUAAUCAAAGAUAUUUAUCGCUAUUAGAUAAGCUCGCGUAGGAUUAGGUUGUUGGUUUGGUAAUGGCAAACCAAGCUUAUGAUCCUUAGCUGGUCUUAGCGGAUGAUCAGCCACAUUGGAACUGAGACAAGGUCCAAACUCCUAUGGAGGCAGCAGUGGGGAAUAUUGGACAAUGGACGAAAGUCUGAUCCAGCAAUAGCUCGUGAGUGAUGACAGCUUUUNGGUUGUAAANCUCUUUNNNCAAGGAAGAUAAUGACNNUACUUGNAGAANAAGCCCCGGCAAAUUUCGUGCCAGCAGCCGCGGUAAUACGAAAGGGGCNAGUGUUAUUCGAAAUUACUGGGCGUAAAGGGUAAGUAGGUGGUUGAGUCAGUUGUAUGUUAAAUCCCAAAGCCUAACUUUGGUAGAGCGUACAAAACUAUUCAACUAGAAUAAAAGAGAGGAUAGUGGAAUUUCUAAUGGAGGGUUAGAUUCUGUAGAUAUUAGAAGGAACAUCAAAGGCGAAGGCAACUAUCUGGCUUUUUAUUGACGCUAAAUUACGAAGGCGUAGGUAGCGAACAGGAUUAGAUACCCUGGUAGUCUACGCAGUCAACGAUGGAUGUUAAAUUUUGAGUAGUUUUUUAAAUGAGUACGCAAGGAAAGUUUUUUUAAAACAGAUCCAGGAUUACAGCUAACGCGUUAAACAUCCCGCCUGGGGAGUACGGCCGCAAGGCUAAAACUUAAAGAAAUUGACGGGGACCUACACAAGCGGUGGAGCAUGUGGUUUAAUUCGAUACUACGCGCAAAACCUUA